rnacentral:rRNA from 1 species
ACGGAGGGUGCAAGCGUUGUUCGGAAUCACUGGGCGUAAAGGGCGCGUAGGCGGUUUGAUAAGUCAGAUGUGAAAGCCCACGGCUUAACCGUGGAAGUGCAUUUGAAACUGUCAGACUUGAGUACCAGAGGGGAAAGUGGAAUUCCCGGUGUAGAGGUGAAAUUCGUAGAUAUCGGGAGGAAUACCGGUGGCGAAGGCGACUUUCUGGCUGGAUACUGACGCUGAGGCGCGAAAGCGUGGGGAGCAAACAGGAUUAGAUACCCUGGUAGUCCACGCUGUAAACGAUGUGAACUAGAUGUAGGGGGUGUUGAUCCCUUCUGUGUCGCAGCUAACGCAUUAAGUUCACCGCCUGGGGAGUACGGUCGCAAGAUUA